UAGGACUGGGUUAAGCAUAGAAAGGAGGUAGUGAUGAGCAGUAGUGACUACUUCAAGAGGAAAGUAGCAGUUCAGUCACCUUAUCAGAAUCCCCCUCCAGGAAAACUAACAUUUGGAGGAGUAUUGCACCAGUUCAUACUCAGCAAGGCCCCUUAAGGCACUGGAAGGCUGGAGUGAGGUCUCUCCAGAACCUUCUCUUCUGCAAGCUGAAUGCCCUCAGCUCCCUCAACCUUCUUUCAUAGGAGAAAUACUCCAGCCCUCUGAGCAUUCUUGUGACUUCUUGUGAACGCUCUCCAAUUAGCCUAUGUCCUUCUCAUGUUGGGAGCUGAAUGCACUAGUAUUCGUUCAAGAGUUUUAGGAGAGAACAACUCAGAUUCCUCAGAAGAAGGAAAUAAGGAGGUUCACCAGAUAGAACAGCUGUUGAUGGAUCAGGGAGAUGUAUUCCACUUCAGUGUGCAAUGACCACCUAGCCAAAGAGCAAAGAGCUGUAAGAAGCCAAGAAUUAAAAACUGCUCAUCUGUGACAGGAGAUAAAUGCAAUACCAAAUGAAAAAGAAAUGUCUAAUGAAUAUUGUAUCUACAAGGGACCAAGAUUCACCAUGUCCCCCCAAAGAAGACAUCUGCUUAGAUAUUCUUGUUGGGAUGAUAAUUAGAAAGAUGACUGCUAUGACUGGGAUGAUAAUGUGUGAAAUCCCACAUUUUGCUGCAAAGUGUUCCCUGGAUGACAAGUGAGCUGAAAUGUAACUUGUCACUACAGGAAUCAGAAUGCCCCUGAUCACAAGAAAUGAAAACUCUGAACAGUAGGUAUUUGGGCUCUUUCAUCAUCUGUAAGUGAAGAAAGGUUUAGGUACUCUGAGCAAGGUCUAUGGUCUGUGUGAUUCAUGAUACGUUGCAGCUGAUUACCUGUGAGUGCCCAAUCUGAAUAACCUGAGUUUGUUAAGAGACAUUCUUGCUCGUUCAAAAGACAAAAUCCUUCACAAAUGAGAGCAGUGUGGUUCGUGUGGGACCUUCGAUCAGAACACUGGAUGCUUUCCUAGAAAGCACAGUCAGUGCCAGGGGCUGAGACUGUCCUCCUUUACAUGAAAAGCCCUAACUAUCACUGACAAAAUUUAAGUUUGAAAUGAGAUCUUGUCAGAUGGGACAUGACAAC
ensembl:lncRNA